GUGCUCACUUCAGCAGCACAUAUACUAAAAUUGGAAGGAUAUAGAAAAGAUUAGCAUGUCCCCUGUGCAAGGAUGACAAGCAAAUUCAUGAAACAUUCAUAUUUUUG
rnacentral:snRNA from 1 species